UUUAAUUAUUAUUAUUUUUUAGGGAUAGAAUAAUUUAGAAAAAUCUGUGGAAAUUUUUUAUCCUUAAAGGCUGCAAAUCUUUUGAGGUUCCAUUACAGCACUGCUUCCAUUGUACAUAAAUGUGUGAUAAACCAGAUAUUCAGGUAGCUUUAAUGUAUCUUUGCUCUGGUGGAGCAGCAGUAAUUUAUAUCAGUCACAGGUGAUUUCAUUAGGCCAAUACAAAAGCAGAAAUUAAGAGUGUAAAGGGCUUUUAUCCCCUUAGCUUGGGAACUAUCAACUCCAUAAAACAUAUGUGAUGUUAAGCAUGGAAAUUUGUUAAACUUGCAAAUGAAAUAGAUUUAGCAAUGACCCAGUUCCUGUUCCUAUCAUUCCUCACUCUUUUUUGCCCUGUUUGCCACAAGGCAAGCAUAGAUAAGUUUGCUUUCAGUUCCAGACUAAGUUAUUCAGUGCCUUCAUCAACAUUACUCUGCUACCAUUCAGUUCAAGUGCAAAACACCACAAAUAUAUUUCUAAUCACUAAUGACUUCCCAGCACCUAAAUGACUAAUCACCAAUAUUUUCUUUUCAUCCAGCUCUUCCAGUCAAUACAAGUUCAUUGAAAGAGCAACGUUAAAAUAUCUGCUAAUGUGGUAAUACCCAGGUUUUACUAUAUACAUAGAAAUCUACAUCAUCAGGGAGAGAAAAAGGUGGAGUCUUUUAAUAUCCUUUGCAAAAAGAAACCCCAAAGCCCAAAACAAACCCACCAAAUCACCAGUUCUGCUGCUGAGAACAGAGGUUAAAUGACAACAAAAAUACAGAGAAUAUAUUUUGUCUAAGUGUCAGAUUGCUGUCCUACAGGGUUAUCUUAAUAUUAAAAUAAAGGGCAGAGUGAAACAAAACAAAUGUAGGAACCCAAGAAUUUCCUAGUCUACACUGCUUUCAGAGGUGUAACAGAUACAGAGCAUCCACUGCUGUGUGUUAAACACUCACAUCUACCCCAUACAGUAUGACCAUACCUUUUUCAUGCCAAUGUCUCUUGACUUGCUCCUCAGCUUAUUAACUUGAGAUUCAGCUAUUUCAGCCCUUUCUUCAGCAUCAUCCAGAUCAUGCUGCUGUUUUCUGUACUUUGAGAGGUACAGAUUGGCUUGAGCUUCCUGGUGAGAAAAAAAGAGUACAGCUGAUUUCCUCCUGUCCACAUGAAACAAAGCUUUUAAUUUCGAGUGGGAUGGAAAGUGCUCAGCAUGAGUAGGUAACAGCUGUAUGGGCACCACUUGCCUCCUGCAGAACUGAGAUUGUUGUUUUACAGGGUUGAUAUUUCUAGUGGCAUUUUCCAUGUUAAGUGAACUGAGAGGCUCUCAAUGUGUCUUCUCAGGGGCUGAGGGGCUGUUCUUUCCCUUUGUCCCCUUCUCUUGCAAAUUACACUGCAGUCUUAGGCUAAAAUGGCAUACUUUUUCUUAAAUAUAAUCAACACAUAUGCUACAUAUUUUACUUUAUAUAUAAUGCAAAACAGUUAUUAAAAGAAUUAUUUAUGGACACAAAAUGUGUAUUUGUACUAGAAGUUUCUAUGGAUAAAAAAUUGUGGGUUUAGAGCAAUACAUCUCUCAAAGGUAAAAAGACCCAGAUGGUUACUCACAGCUUCCUCUGCUUGGUGCUUGUAACUCUUCACUUUUAAUUGUAGCUUGUCAAUCAGAUCCUGCAUCCUGGCAAGAUUCUUCUUAUCUUCUUCUGACUGUAUCAAAACACCAUUAAUUGGGCUGAUAGAGGAAAAAGGCUUAGAGCAUCUACCACAGUACAAGAAUUAUGGAUGCCAUACAUAUUUUUGAAACUUAUAGCUCAAAGCACAAACUAGCCAUGUCCUGUGUACACAUAAGAAAAAUUUCUACAUCGUCAUUGAAGAUACGUGUGUGGAGAGUGAAGACUGAGAUUACCCUUCCUGUGUAUAGAUGUGUAAAUAUAAAUGUAUGUAAAUAAAGAUAUAUAUGUGCACACAUUUUCAGAGGUGUGCAGAUACA